UGGGGAAUUUUGGACAAUGGGGGAAACCCUGAUCCAGCCAUCCCGCGUGUGCGAUGAAGGCCUUCGGGUUGUAAAGCACUUUUGGCAGGAAAGAAACGUCAUGGGUUAAUACCCCGUGAAACUGACGGUACCUUCAGAAUAAGCACCGGCUAACUACGUGCCAGCAGCCGAGGUAAUACGUAGGGUGCAAGCGUUAAUCGGAAUUACUGGGCGUAAAGCGUGCGCAGGCGGUUCGGAAAGAAAGAUGUGAAAUCCCAGAGCUCAACUUUGGAACUUGAUUUUUAACUACCGGGCUAGAGUGUGUCAGAGGGAGGUGGAAUUCCGCGUGUAGCAGUGAAAUGCGUAGAUAUGCGGAGGAACACCGAUGGCGAAGGCAGCCUCCUGGGAUAAAACUGACGCUCAUGCACGAAAGCGUGGGGAGCAAACAGG
rnacentral:rRNA from 1 species